rnacentral:tRNA from 1 species
GGGAAGGUGGCUCAGUGGUAGAGCGCUUGCCUAGCAUGCAUAAGGCCCUGGGUUCGAUUCCUCAGCCCA